rnacentral:rRNA from 1 species
GACGAACGCUGGCGGCGUGCUUAACACAUGCAAGUCGAACGGAAAGGCCCUACUUUUCUGGGGUGCUCGAGUGGCGAACGGGUGAGUAACACGUGAGUAACCUGCCCUUCACUUCGGGAUAACCUCAGGAAACUGGGGCUAAUACCGGAUAGGAGCUCCUUCUGCAUGGUGGGGUGUGGAAGUUUUUGGCGGUUGGGGAUGGACUCGCGGCUUUUAGGCUUGUUGUUGGGUUAUUGGCUUACCAAGGCUUGGACGGUUAGCCGGCCUGAGAGGGUGACCGGCAAAAUUGGGAUUGAGAUACGGCCAAGACUCCUACGGGAGGAAGAAGGGGGGAAAAUUGAAAAAGGGGCGAAAGCCUGAUGCAGGAAGGCGGGGGGCGGGAGGACGGCCUCGGGGUGUUAACCCGCUUUCGCAUGUGACGAAGCGUGAGUGACGGUAAUGGGUAAAGAAGCACCGGCUAACUACGUG